AUUGAACGCUGGCGGCAGGCCUAACACAUGCAAGUCGAACGAGUGGCGGACGGGUGAGUAAUGUAUGGGAAACUGCCCGCUGGAGGGGGAUAACUACUGGAAACGGUAGCUAAUACCGCAUACCAUCGGAUGUGCCCAGAUGGGAUGAGCUAGGAGGUGGGGUAAAGGCUCACCUAGGCGACGAUCCCGCGCUGGUCUGAGAGGAUGACCAGCCACAGUGGAAUGGAGACACGGCCCAGACUCAUACGGCAGGAAGCAGGGGGGAAUAUUGGAAAAUGGGCGCAAGCCUGAGGAAGCCAUGCGGCGGGGAUGAAGAAGGCCUUCGGGUUGUAAAGUACUUUAAGCGAGGAGGCGUUACUCGCAGAAGAAGCACCGGCUAACUCCGUGCCAGCAGCCGCGGUAAUAC
rnacentral:rRNA from 1 species